rnacentral:tRNA from 1 species
GGGGAUAUAGCUCGGUUGGUACAGUUCUUGCCUCUUAUGCACAAGGCCCUGGGUUCAAUCCCCAGCACCACCA